GUAAAAAGAAAUAUGUUUAUCCUGAGGCUCGCACGGGAAGCGGUGAACUAUACAAUAAUUAUAGUUUAUUUUCAUUAAGACAUCGAUUUAAUAGAUACUUAUCAAAUUAAGAUUGUGAAAUUAUGCAUGACGCUGAUAACAAGGACGCAAAUAAGGUAUUUAAGUAACCACGAAAACCUUAAACGUGGGUUAGCAGGUAUUAAUUAUAACUCUCUCCCCC
rnacentral:lncRNA from 1 species